CAGACUCAGUCACUGGCGGUAACGUUAAGGAAGCGUUUGGAGUCACUUCAGUGCAGACCACACUCGGCCUCACUGGGUGGAGAAAGUUCGGCCUCCCUGUCCAGCAUCUGUCACCUGGUACGAUCCCUUCUCCUGCAAAGAGGACCACUCCCACCCUAAAUAAUGAGGAAUCAAUCAGUAAAGAUCAAAACGGCGGCAGGUGCUUGGGACCUCGAUCCUCUGGCUAAUGGCAAGCCUUUGGAGAGGAGCUCCAAGGAGUCCCUUGAUGUUCCUUAGGGACCACAGGAAGCAGAACAGAUGGUAUGCUCAGGAGAACAGCGACGGAUGAUGACAAAGGUACGCGUUGUUUCUUCUCCUUCUCUCUCUUCUCUUUACAGGCGAGGAAGCUGUUGGAGGAAAAUCCCUAACCCUUCUAUCACUAGGAUGGAUAGAUGUCUGCAGGUAAGACCCGUGACCAUCCCUGGCUGCCACUCAGAUGGACAGCCCUGAGGCCAUGUUCGGUGCAGUCUUUUAUACACUUGCCCGGGAAACCCCUUAGAAAAGGCGGGAAGCCCCUUCUGGGAAACCCCUUAGGAAAACCAGUUCUGACUGGAAGUUGUUUACAACUCCAGGAAAGAUUAAAGACCGGGAAAAUGGACCUAUAACUCACUUGGGUACAAAAUUCCAUUUUGGAACCAACAUGGAUUCCUGUAGUCACAAAACAUAUGAAAGUGAACCCAACCUAACACAAGGAAAACCACAGCUUCACACACACACUGACCUGGAGUUGUAAACCCAUGACUGGCGUAUGUGAAGCCACACGGGACUACGCUUGUUUGCUC